rnacentral:rRNA from 1 species
UACGGAGGGAGCUAGCGUUGUUCGGAAUUACUGGGCGUAAAGCGCGCGUAGGCGGCUUUGUAAGUUAGAGGUGAAAGCCCGGGGCUCAACCCCGGAAUUGCCUUUAAGACUGCAUCGCUUGAAUCCGGGAGAGGUGAGUGGAAUUCCGAGUGUAGAGGUGAAAUUCGUAGAUAUCGUGAGGAAGACCAGUGGCGAAGGCGAGUUUCUGGACAGUUACUGACGCUGAGGCACGAAGGCUAGGGGAGCAAACGGG